GACAGACUAGCAAUUAACAACAGCUGCAUCAAUGAAUAAAUUUUCAAUAGGCCGCAGAUAUUCUGUGCUAAGGUAGCAUAAUCAUUUGCUUUAUAAUUAAAAGCUAGAAUGAAAGGUUUAACGUUUUAACAUAUUUAUUAUUUUCAUAUUUUGAAUUUAUAUUAAAUAUAAAAAUAUAUUUAUAUAAAAAAAAGACGACAAGACCCUAUAGAACUUUACUUAUAGUUUAGCUGGGGCAGCUUAUUAAUUAUAAUUUUAAUUAAAUAUAUUAAAUAACAUAUCCAAUAAAAUUGAUUAAUUUAUCAAGUUACCUUAGGGAUAACAGCGUAAUAUUAAUUUAAAGUUCAUAUUAAAAUUAAUGUUUGCGACCUCGAUGUUGAAUUAUAAAUCUUCAUUAACGCAAUAGUUAUGAAAGUAGGCCUGUUCGUCCUUUAA
rnacentral:rRNA from 1 species